rnacentral:rRNA from 1 species
UACGAAGGGGGCUAGCGUUGCUCGGAAUCACUGGGCGUAAAGCGCACGUAGGCGGAUUGCUAAGUCAGGGGUGAAAUCCUGGAGCUCAACUCCAGAACUGCCUUUGAUACUGGCGACCUUGAGUCCGGGAGAGGUGAGUGGAACUGCGAGUGUAGAGGUGAAAUUCGUAGAUAUUCGCAAGAACACCAGUGGCGAAGGCGGCUCACUGGCCCGGUACUAACGCUGAGGUGCGAAAGCGUGGGGAGCAAACAGG